rnacentral:rRNA from 1 species
CGUGGGUAACCUGCCUGUAAGACUGGGAUAACUCCGGGAAACCGGAGCUAAUACCGGAUAGUUCCUUGAACCGCAUGGUUCAAGGAUGAAAGACGGUUUCGGCUGUCACUUACAGAUGGACCCGCGGCGCAUUAGCUAGUUGGUGAGGUAACGGCUCACCAAGGCGACGAUGCGUAGCCGACCUGAGAGGGUGAUCGGCCACACUGGGACUGAGACACGGCCCAGACUCCUACGGGAGGCAGCAGUAGGGAAUCUUCCGCAAUGGACGAAAGUCUGACGGAGCAACGCCGCGUGAGUGAUGAAGGUUUUCGGAUCGUAAAGCUCUGUUGUUAGGGAAGAACAAGUGCAAGAGUAACUGCUUGCACCUUGACGGUACCUAACCAGAAAGCCACGGCUAACUACGUGCCAGCAGCCGCGGUAAUACGUAGGUGGCAAGCGUUGUCCGGAAUUAUUGGGCGUAAAGGGCUCGCAGGCGGUUUCUUAAGUCUGAUGUGAAAGCCCCCGGCUCAACCGGGGAGGGUCAUUGGAAACUGGGAAACUUGAGUGCAGAAGAGGAGAGUGGAAUUCCACGUGUAGCGGUGAAAUGCGUAGAGAUGUGGAGGAACACCAGUGGCGAAGGCGACUCUCUGGUCUGUAACUGACGCUGAGGAGCGAAAGCGUGGGGAGCGAACAGGAUUAGAUACCCUGGUAGUCCACGCCGUAAACGAUGAGUGCUAAGUGUUAGGGGGUUUCCGCCCCUUAGUGCUGCAGCUAACGCAUUAAGCACUCCGCCUGGGGAGUACGGUCGCAAGAGUGAAACU